UACGUACUGUGCGAACGUUAUUCGGAAUCACUGGGCUUAAAGGGUGUGUAGGCGGCCGGCUAAGUAGGGUGUGAAAGGCCUCGGCCUAACCGAGGCAUUGCGCUCUAAACUGACCGGCUUGAGUGAGAUAGGGGUGUGCGGAACUUCCAGUGGAGCGGUGAAAUGUGUUGAUAUUGGAAGGAACGCCGGUGGCGAAAGCGGCACACUGGGUCUUGUCUGACGCUGAGACACGAAAGCCAGGGGAG
rnacentral:rRNA from 1 species